CACUCGUUCUCUCACUUUUUUUUAAGCUCUCUGUUAUUAUUUUCUGGUAAUUCUCGAGUGUUUCUGUGAGUCUCUCGCCCUCUCAGUGUUUUGAUUGCUAGGAGGAAAACCAACGUGGAGGCGACGGCGACACUUUGUUUACUACUGAGGAGCAGAGAGUACUCGGGAAGCCUGAGUGGAACGAGUCCCUCGCUUCGCCUCGACCUCGCUCGGAGCCCAAAGCGGGGCCGGGCGGGGGCCGGGGACGCUCAGCGCUCCGGGGGCGCUGGGUGGGCGGGCCGAGGCGGCCUCGCUGCAUUCUGCUCAAUCGCCUCCUCUCGACUCUGCCCACGAUUUCUUUGCAGAGAAACGUGGGGAAGUCGAAUGGAAGUGCUGAGGCGUUGAGAAGUGAAAAUGGAAGAGGGGAGAGGACCAAAGCCUUGGGGUGCAGCCCUGCCCCACUCCCAGGUGUUCCUUUAGGCCGCUUGCCCCGUGCGUCCGUCAACCCACCCCACCUUUCCCCAUCUGGGCUCCAGGUCCAGGACGUCCUGCUGAGAUCGGUGGGGCAAAAGACACAGACCGACAAGGCCUGGGGAAGAAGGGUGGAGAAAGGAGCAGAAUGCCUCCACCUGGAUAGGAAAGCAAAUCACGUGUGUCCCUCGCUCAUCUCCAGCCAAGGCUAUAGUGUGAGUAGAAAGCUCUGGAAACACAGUGGCUCUCUUAUAACUCACAGUAGCUGUUUUAUCAAGUAUGCUGUGAUGUUGGCCCUACCUGCAAAAUAUGAUAAAAUGAAAUCACCAAUGGCUCUUCCAAGAAAAACAGAAAAUCAACAAAGCACGAUCAACUGAAGUUCUUUUAUUCCCUAAGUAGUGUUCAAUUUAUUCUGCAUUUUGAAAUUUUAUCUUGAUAUUACUUUCCACCUACAUACCUCA